rnacentral:lncRNA from 10 species
UGUGAGGCCUCCCCAGCCAUGUCUGUCCGUGGACUUAGAUACCAUCUCGAUGACAAUGACUCCAAUUCUCUACCUCCAGUCAUGCCACGGUAAAGCUUCAGAGCUGUAGAUAAACGUGUGGAUUUCUGGCCUCUGCUGGAAACCUAAAAGAUCAGCAAUGGAGUUUACAUUCUACUAGAACAAGCACUGGUCCUGAGUGGCAGGGGACCUAGACAGGCGUGGGCUUUCUGAUCAACCACAGUCCCCAUCCAACCCACUUCACUCGUUACCUGCCUGGCCAUGGUGGGCGCUUGAAUUGGUGAUCAGGACACUGAAGGAGGAGACGGCCUUCACUAAGACCUGAUGGAUGGGAAAUGGCACCUUCUGCCUAGAGUCCAGCAGGAAGACAUUUCCAUGGCGCAGAAUCAGGUGUCUCAUGACUCUCCACAUAAACCCCUAAACGACAACACCGCCCCUGUCCCACGCUCCCCGCCUCCCACCAGAGCAGCCGAUCAAGGGUAUUUACAUUUUGUUUUUUGUUUUUGUGUUUUUUUGAGAUGGAGUCUUGCUCUGUCACCCAGGCUGGAGUUCAGUGGCACAAUCUCGAUUCAUUGCAACCUCUGCCUCCUGGGUUCAAGUGAUUUUCCUGCCUCAGCCUCCCGAGUAGCUGGGAUUACAGGCAUGCAUCACCACGCCCAGCUAAUUUUUGUAUUUUUAGUAGAGACGGGGUUUCACCAGUUGGCCAGCUGGUCUCGAACUCCUGACCUCAAGUGAUCCACCUGCCUCGGCCUCCCAAAGUGCUAGGAUUACAGACAUGAACCACUGCACCUGGCCGGUAUUUACAUUUUAAUCACUUCCUGCUAAGUUCAUGGCAGUUGAAUCAGUAGGAAGUACCAAACUGCCCAAAACAAAUUAGAGGGAGAAAUGGACAGUUUUUAUAAGUCAGUUAAAUGAGAAAUAAGGAGAUAACCACAAUUGUGUAGGACGGAUUUCCACUCCUUAACUAUUAUCCACCUAUAAUUAAUAUACCAUAAUAGAAGGUGCACUAAGUUGCUAAUUCAACCUUUCUACUGUUUUAUCUUGGCCAGGUCUACAGCAUGGUGUCUUGAUUUAUAGGAGGUAGAUAAAAAUAUGGCCAUCCUUCACACGGCUGUAACGAGGCUAUUUUUAAAAGAAUUUAAAGCAUGGGGCAAAUCUUAGGACCCGGGUCAAAGGGUUUUGUAUACAAUCACUAAAAAUUCUUCCAAAGCUUCUGUAGUUUAAGCCACAUUUUAUUCUUGUUAUCGCACUAGAAUCAUAGGUUCCUGAAACACAGGACAUUGAAAAACUUCUUUUAAUUAUGUGUUGACAGUAGCGCCAUCCACUCCCUCCUUCUCCAAGAUUCUUUCUUCUUCCCCCAACAGAAAUAACACAAAUAUUCAUCCUGGGAGAUCAUGUCAUGUUCUAACACAUGGCCACAAACUUUAAAUCUCAGCUAAACACUCCAGAGUGUCAAAACAACUAGCAAUUGCUGAAACAAUUAACUUCCUCCCCAAAUGGGUGAAAAAAUUAGAGUGGCCAUGAAUGAUAGAUUUCAUUCAGUAUGUCCUUAUUCACAGAUUUUUGGCUAAAUUGAUAUCAAAUUCUAUGGUAUGUGUCAGGCUUGCCGGCUUUCCUUCCAUAUGAAACCUUGUCGUUUCACAUUUCAUUCAUUUCAUUCCUGCAGGACACUUAGAGAACAUUCAAAAGAUUGGACUGACAUGAGUUAAAAGAAGGAUUAUUUACAGAGGACAAAUCUGUGGCCAGUCAGAGAAAGAGCAAGUGGAAUCAACACUCUGACCUUUCUCUCAUUCUGUCUUCUGGUCUCCCACCAAUACCUGUCAUUGGUCAGACUCAAGCAGAUGACAGAGGCCAACACAGGCCAACGUAGUCAGAUGCCUGGUGCACAGAACAGAGUAUGUGCAAUGGUCAACCGGGUGUGGGGUGGAAGCCAUUCACCAGCUCAGCAACAUUGACUUUUCCUCCCCAAGACUGACCAGGCUACCACCACUGCAGAGUGCCCACCCAGCCAACAGAGACCAAGCAAGCCUCUGGCAUGGCAACAUUCCAGAGGGGGACCAGCCAGCCUGUAGGUAGACACUAUACAUUGGGUGCCUCUUUCAUAGAGUGGGUAGAGUUCUAUUCCACACUACACACAAAAAUGGAUUCUAAAUGGAUUAAACAGUGGGGAAAUGCAACAUAGGUAGUAAAAUGAAAAGAAUUUGUUCAUAAAUAAACUUAAGACAGAGAAGGCCUCCUUUGGAAAAGACAUGACAUUCGGAAGCUUUGAAGAGAAAGAUUGAUAGAUUUUACUAUUCAAAAAUUUCAAACUUGCAGCCAGGAGCAGUGUGUCAGGCCUGUAAUCCAAGUACUUUAGGAGGCUGAGGCAGGAGGGUUGUUUGUGGUCAGGAGCUCAAGAUAAGCCUGGACAACAUAACAAGAACCCAUCUUUAAAAAAAAAAAAAAAAAAAUUUCCUGUUAUAGUGCUGCACACCUGUUAUCCCAGCUACUCAGGAGGCUGAGGCAGGAGGAUUGCUUGAGUCCAGAAGUUGGAGGCUAUGGUGAGCUAUGAACAUACCACUGCACUGUAGCCUGGGCAACAGAGACAGACCCUGUUUCAAAUAUAUAUAUAUGCUUAAACUUAAACUUGAUUAAUACUAAAGGCAGCACAAAGUUGAAAACAAACAGCAGAUAGGAAGAUAUUUACAACAAGUAACAAUAAUACAAUAACUGCUUCAAAUGCUGCUAAUUAUGUGCCAGAUGCCAACCUAAUGUGUCCUUAUUCAUUUACUCCUACAACAGGGUGAAGUAGACACUAUUAUUAUCCUUCUCACUUUUCAGGCUAGGAAACUGAGAUACAGAGAGAUUGAGUCACUUGGCCAAGAUCACACAGCUAGUAAGUGGCACAGCCAAGAUUAGAAUCCAGACAGCCUCACUUCAUGGACUGUGCUCAUAACCCAUACCCGAUGCCACCUCUCAUUUUUCUGGGGGGUUGGGUGAAUGGAGUCUCACUCUGUUGCCCGGGCUGGAGUGCAGUGGCUCGAUCUUGGCUUCCUACAACCUCUGCCUCCCAGUUUCAAGCCAUCCUUCUGCCUCAGACUCCUGAGUAGUAGGUACUACAGGUGUGAGCCACCACACCCAGAAUUUUUGUAUUUUUAGUGGAGACAGGGUUUCACCGUGUUGGCUAGCCUGGUCUCAAACUCCUGACCUCAAGUGAUCUGCUCCCCUCAGCCUCCCAAAGAGCUGGGAUUACAGGCAUGAGCCACCACUCUUGGCCCUCUCUCAUUUUUUUUAAUGCUACCUAAAAGAGACCAUGAAUUUUUAUCCACAAUAUAUAAAGAAAUCCCAAAAUCAAUAAGAAAAAACAAAGAACUCAAUAGAAAACUCAGCAAAGAUUCUUACUGGACAAUUCACAGAAGAGAAAAUUUAAAUGACCAACAAACAUACGAAACCUCACUAGUAAUUAAGGAUAUGCAAAUUUUUUUAAUGAGACAUCAUUUUUUUACUCACUACAUUAGCAAAAAUUAAAAGAAUGUUAUCGCGCAUUGGCAAAGAAAUAGUCACUCUCAUAGACUGUGGGUUGGAAUACAAAUUGGUAGAGCUUUCGUGGUAGUAUAUAAUAAAAUGUUAAAUAUCUAUUAGCUGGUGACUUAGCAGAGCCCAUUGCCUAAUAUCUAAUCUACAUAAAUAUGGGCGUGUGUAUACCAAGAUAUCUCUGUCAUCUUACUUGUAAUAAUAAGAUUUUUGAGCCACCUAAAGUCAAUUAGUAUUGACAGUUUUUUUAAAACGUGGUACAGUUUUUAAAGAGGGGAUUACUUAGCAAAGUUUCCACACCCACACAUCCACAGCUUUGCUUGCUCAAUACAGCCUUGAGAUGUGUUUUGUUUGACCGUGGCAUUUAACACAAUUUUGAAUUUGGAAGCCUUUACUGGGACACAAUCUCCAUUUUCUCAUGGGUCCCAUCCUUUCUAAUUGUCUUUUAUUUAUGAUGCCUCCCUAGCCUCUGAGUGCAUUUGAGCUUGCAGUGCCCAAUUAAACCCUAAGUACAUAACCAAAAAGGAGCUUAAAACUCUUCAAGAGUCUUGGAUUCAAUAUAAACACUCUGCAAUAGUUCAGAAGCCUGAGAGGCAGUACCACAUGGUACUCAUAGACUCUUAACCUCAUAGACGCUGAAACUCAUAGACUCUUGAGCUCAUAGACUCUGAAGUCAGACUGGCAGUCCUCAAAUCCCAACUGCACCAUUUACUAUCUGUGUCACUGGAAACCCCUGAAUCUCUCUGUGCCUCAGUGUCAUCUGAAAGGCAGAAUUAACAACACCCCCUUUGUUGUGAGAAUUAAAUAAGUAGUACACGUGAAGUUCUCAGAACAGUGCUGUACACAUACAAAGUGUUCAAUAAAUGUUAGCUGUGGCUACUAUGGCUGUUAUAAGUAACAACAUGGAAAGAUCUCCGAAACACAUAUUUAAAAAAAAAUGCAUACAAACACUGUCGUGAGCAUACACAAUAUGAUUGCUAUUAUAAGUACACCUAGGCCAGGUGCGGUGGCUCACGCCUGUAAUCCCAGCACUUUCAGAGGCCGAGGCGGGUGGAUCGCCUGAGGUCAGAAGUUCAAGACCAGCCUAGCCAACAUGGUGAAACUUCGUCUCUAGUAAAAAAUACAAAAAUUACAGGGGCAUGGUGGCGC